rnacentral:rRNA from 1 species
UACGAGGGGGGCGAGCGUUGUUCGGAAUUAUUUGGGCGUAAAGGGUGCGUAGGUGGUAGGGUAAGUUGAUGUGAAAUCUCCGAGCUUAACUCGGAACUGCAUUGAAUACUAUUUACUUGAGGUUGGAGGGGGGGGGACUGAAUUCUCGGUGUAGCAGUGAAAUGCGUAGAUAUCGAGAGGAACACCAGUGGCGAAGGCGAGUCCCUGGACAACACCUGACACUGAGGCACGAAGCUAGGGAGCAAACAG